rnacentral:rRNA from 1 species
UGAAUUUCGGGAUCAGUGGAUCGGUCAUGCCUAUGGUAUGUACUCUGACGAGAGACCUGCACUUCUUGAAGAACUGUAAUGUCAUUAAUUUGGUGUUGCAGGGAAACAGGACUGUUACUUUGAAAAAAUUAGAGUGUUUAAAGCAGGUAACGCUUGAAUACAUUAGCAUGGAAUAAUGAAAUAGGACGUUCGAUCCUAUUUUGUUGGUUUCUAGGAUUGACGUAAUGAUUAAUAGGGAUAGUUGGGGGCAUUAGUAUUCAAUUGUCAGAGGUGAAAUUCUUGGAUUUAUUGAAGACUAACUACUGCGAAAGCAUUUGCCAAGGAUGUUUUCAUUAAUCAAGAACGAAAGUUAGGGGAUCGAAGACGAUCAGAUACC